UACGAAGGGGGCUAGCGUUGCUCGGAAUCACUGGGCGUAAAGCGCACGUAGGCGGACUCUUAAGUCGGUGGUGAAAUCCUGGAGCUCAACUCCAGAACUGCCUUCGAUACUGAGAGUCUCGAGUCCGGGAGAGGUGAGUGGAACUGCAAGUGUAGAGGUGAAAUUCGUAGAUAUUCGCAAGAACACCAGUGGCGAAGGCGGCUCACUGGCCCGGUACUGACGCUGAGGUGCGAAAGCGUGGGGAGCGAACAGG
rnacentral:rRNA from 1 species